rnacentral:tRNA from 51 species
CGGGGCGUAGCGCAGCCUGGUAGCGUACUUGCAUGGGGUGCAAGGGGUCGUGUGUUCGAAUCACACCGUCCCGACCA